rnacentral:misc_RNA from 1 species
UCUUGAUUUCAAACCAUGGAGUAAAUGGCUAUUUCUGGUGAAGAUACAUACUUUUCCAGUGGGAAUAUAGUAUUCUGAGUGAUGCUAAGAAAGAGAUCCAGAGUAACAAGUAGUAAGCAAGCUCUAAUGGCGGACUAUAGCGCAAUUCUAUCUCCAACGAAAAAAUAUAAAAAACCCAGUUCUUUUCCAAGGUUGUUCACUGGCUUCUCCU